UACGGAGGGAGCUAGCGUUGUUCGGAUAUACUGGGCGUAAAGCGCACGUAGGCGGCGCCGUAAGUCAGGGGUGAAAUCCCGGAGCUCAACUCCGGAACUGCCUUUGAAACUGCGGUGCUAGAAUCCUGGAGAGGCGAGUGGAAUUCCGAGUGUAGAGGUGAAAUUCGUAGAUAUUCAGAAGAACACCAGUGGCGAAGGCGACUCGCUGGACAGGUAUUGACGCUGAGGUGCGAAAGCGUGGGGAGCAAACAGG
rnacentral:rRNA from 1 species